rnacentral:rRNA from 1 species
GACGAACGCUGGCGGCGUGCCUAAUACAUGCAAGUAGGACGCACAGUCUAUACCGUCGCUUGCUACACCAUAGGCUGUGAGUUGCGAACGGGUGAGUAACGCGUAGGUAACCUGCCUAUUAGAGGGGGAUAACUAUUGGAAACGAUAGCUAAUACCGCAUAACAGUAUGUAACACAUGUUAGAUGCUUGAAAGAUGCAAUUGCAUCGCUAGUAGAUGGACCUGCGUUGUAUUAGCUAGUAGGGAGGGUAAUGGCCUACCUAGGCGACGAUACAUAGCCGACCUGGGAGGGUUGUCGGCCACACUGGGAACGGGACACGGCCCAAGAUCCUUAGGGGGGCAGCCGGAGGGAAAUUUCGGCCAUGGGGGGAAACCUGACCGAGCAACGCCGCGGGAGGGAAGAAGGGUUUCGGAUCGUAAAGCUCUGUUGUUAAGGAAGAACGAGUGUGAGAAUGGAAAGUUCAUACUGUGACGGUACUUAAACAGAAAGCGACGGCUAACUACGUG